GACGAACGCUGGCGGCGUGCUUAAUACAUGCAAGUCGAACGGUGAACGAGGGAGCUUGCUCCCUCCGGAUCAGUGGCGAACGGGUGAGUAACACGUGAGCAAUCUGCCCCGAACUCUGGGAUAAGCGUUGGAAACGACGUCUAAUACCGGAUACGACGCGGGAGGGCGUCCUCUCCGCGUGGAAAGAACUUCGGUUCGGGAUGAGCUCGCGGCCUAUCAGCUUGUUGGUGAGGUAACGGCUCACCAAGGCGACGACGGGUAGCCGGCCUGAGAGGGUGACCGGCCACACUGGGACUGAGACACGGCCCAGACUCCUACGGGAGGCAGCAGUGGGGAAUAUUGCACAAUGGGCGCAAGCCUGAUGCAGCAACGCCGCGUGAGGGACGACGGCCUUCGGGUUGUAAACCUCUUUUAGCAGGGAAGAAGCGAAAGUGACGGUACCUGCAGAAAAAGCACCGGCUAACUACGUG
rnacentral:rRNA from 1 species